rnacentral:rRNA from 1 species
CGCUGGCGGCGUGCCUAACACAUGCAAGUCGAACGGAGUGUUGUGCUGAAAUUGAGAUUAGCUUGCUAAAGGAUAUUUCUUGCAACACUUAGUGGCGGACGGGUGAGUAACGCGUGAGGAACCUGCCUUACAGAGGGGGACAACAGUUGGAAACGACUGCUAAUACCGCAUGAUGUGGAGGGGAGACAUCUCCCUUUCACCAAAGGAGCAAUCCGCUGUAAGAUGGCCUCGCGUCUGAUUAGAUAGUUGUGGGGUAACGGCCUACCAAGUCGACGAUCAGUAGCCGGACUGAGAGGUUGAACGGCCACAUUGGGACUGAGACACGGCCCAGACUCCUACGGGAGGCAGCAGUGGGGGAUAUUGCACAAUGGAGGAAACUCUGAUGCAGCAACGCCGCGUGAGGGAAGAAGGUUUUCGGAUUGUAAACCUCUGUUUUUAGUGAAGAAACAAAUGACGGUAGCUAAAGAGGAAGCCACGGCUAACUACGUG